rnacentral:rRNA from 1 species
UAACGAUACGGGACUCAUCCGAGGCCCCGUAAUCGGAAUGAGUACACUUUAAAUCCUUUAACGAGUAUCCAUUGGAGGGCAAGUCUGGUGCCAGCAGCCGCGGUAAUUCCAGCUCCAAUAGCGUAUAUUAAAGUUGUUGCGGUUAAAAAGCUCGUAGUUGAAUCUGUGUGCCACGCUGUCGGUUCAUCGCUCGCGAUGUUUAACUGACAUGACUGUGGGACGUCCUACCGGUGGAUUUAGCCUCCUUCGGGGGGGCGGUCCAGCUAAUAUCCCAUCGCGGUGCUCUUGAUCGAGUGUCGAGGUGGGCCGGUACGUUUACUUUGAACAAAUUAGAGUGCUCAAAGCAGGCUAUGUUCGCCUGAAUACUGCGUGCAUGGAAUAAUGGAAUAGGACCUCGGUUCUAUUUUGUUGGUUUUCGGAACCCCGAGGUAAUGAUUAAUAGGGACAGAUGGGGGCAUUCGUAUUGCGACGUUAGAGGUGAAAUUCUUGGAUCGUCGCAAGACGGACAGAAGCGAAAGCAUUUGCCAAAAAUGUUUUCAUUAAUCAAGAACGAAAGUUAGAGGUUCGAAGGCGAUCAGAUACCGCCCUAGUUCUAACCAUAAACGAUGCCAGCUAGCGAUCCGCCGAAGUUCCUCCGAUGACUCGGCGGGCAGCUUCCGGGAAACCAAAGCUUUUGGGUUCCGGGGGAAGUAUGGUUGCAAAGCUGAAACUUAAAGGAAUUGACGGAAGGGCACCACCAGGAGUGGAGCCUGCGGCUUAAUUUGACUCAACACGGG